AUUGAACGCUGGCGGCAUGCCUUACACAUGCAAGUCGAACGGCAGCACGGGAGCAAUCCUGGUGGCGAGUGGCGAACGGGUGAGUAAAGCAUCGGAACGUGCCCAGUCGUGGGGGAUAACGUAGCGAAAGCUACGCUAAUACCGCAUACGAUCUGUGGAUGAAAGCGGGGGACCGUAAGGCCUCGCGCGAUUGGAGCGGCCGAUGUCAGAUUAGGUAGUUGGGGAGGUAAAGGCUCACCAAGCCGACGAUCUGUAGCUGGUCUGAGAGGACGACCAGCCACACGGGGACGGAGACACGGCCAAGACUCCUACGGGAGGCAGCAGUGGGGAAUUUUGGACAAUGGGCGCAAGCCUGAUCCAGCAAUGCCGCGUGCAGGAUGAAGGCCUUCGGGUUGUAAACUGCUUUUGUACGGAGCGAAAAGGCUUCCACUAAUACUGGGGGCUCAUGACGGUACCGUAAGAAUAAGCACCGGCUAACUACGUGCCAGCCGCCGCCGUAACAC
rnacentral:rRNA from 1 species